UACGUAGGGACCGAGCGUUGUCCGGAAUCAUUGGGCGUAAAGAGCGUGUAGGCGGCCCCUUAAGUCCUGCGUGAAAUCUUGCGGCUCAACCGCAAGCGGUCGUGGGAAACUGGGUGGCUAGAGUGCGGGAGAGGAGAGUGGAAUUCCUGGUGUAGCGGUGGAAUGCGCAGAUAUCAGGAAGAACACCCGUGGCGAAGGCGGGUCUCUGGACAGUUCCUGACGCUGAGGCACGAAGGCCAGGGGAGCAAACGGG
rnacentral:rRNA from 1 species